UGCCAGCCGCCGCGGUAAUACGGAGGGUGCAAGCGUUAAUCGGAAUUACUGGGCGUAAAGCGUGCGUAGGCGGUUUGUUAAGUCAGAUGUGAAAGCCCCGGGCUUAACCUGGGAACCGCAUUUGAUACUGGCAAACUAGAAUGUGGUAGAGGGAAGUGGAAUUCCUCAUGUAGCGGUGAAAUGCGUAGAUAUGAGGAGGAACACCAGUGGCGAAGGCGACUUCCUGGACCAACAUUGACGCUGAGGUACGAAAGCGUGGGUAGCAAACAGGAUUAGAUA
rnacentral:rRNA from 1 species